GCUGGGCAUGGUGGCGCAUGCCUGUAAUCCCAGCUACUUGGGAGGCUGAGACAGGAGAAUCACUUGAACCCAGGAGGUGGAGGUUGCGGUGAGCAGAGAUCUCGCCGUUGCAUUCCAGCCUGGGCAACAAGAGUGAAACUCUGUCUCAA
rfam:Pan troglodytes isolate Yerkes chimp pedigree #C0471 (Clint) chromosome 8, whole genome shotgun sequence.